AGAAAUUUAGGUUAUCUAAACCAAGGGCCUUCAAAGCCCUAAAAGAAAGUAAUAAACUCUCAAUUUCUG
rnacentral:tRNA from 1 species